rnacentral:rRNA from 1 species
UACGUAGGGUGCAAGCAUUAAUCGGAUUUAUUGGGCGUAAAGGGCGCGCAGGCGGGGAUGCAAGUCAGAUGUGAAAUCCCGGGGCUCAACCCCGGAACAGCAUUUGAAACUACAUCUCUAGAGGGUAGACGGAGAGAACGGAAUUCCACAAGUAGCGGUGAAAUGCGUAGAUAUGUGGAAGAACACCAGUGGCGAAGGCGGUUCUCUAGUUUAUACCUGACGCUGAGGCGCGAAAGCAAGGGGAGCAAACAGG